rnacentral:rRNA from 1 species
UACGGAGGGUGCAAGCGUUAAUCGGAAUUACUGGGCGUAAAGCGCACGCAGGCGGUCUGUCAAGUCGGAUGUGAAAUCCCCGGGCUCAACCUGGGAACUGCAUUCGAAACUGGCAGGCUAGAGUCUUGUAGAGGGGGGUAGAAUUCCAGGUGUAGCGGUGAAAUGCGUAGAGAUCUGGAGGAAUACUGGUGGCGAAGGCGGCCCCCUGGACAAAGACUGACGCUCAGGUGCGAAAGCGUGGGGAGCAAACAGG